rfam:Camelus ferus unplaced genomic scaffold scaffold66, whole genome shotgun sequence.
GAGGGCAAAGCUCAGUGGCAGAGCGCGUGCUUAGCAUGCAUGAUGUCCUGGGUUCAGUCCUCAGUGCCUCCA